UACUUUCAUAGGAUAAAAGCAAUCCAUUGGUCUUAGGAACCAAAAAACUGGUGCAACUCCAGAUGAAAGUAA
rnacentral:tRNA from 1 species